CCUACGGGAGGCAGCAGUGGGGAAUAUUGCACAAUGGGGGAAACCCUGAUGCAGCGACGCCGCGUGAGUGAAGAAGUAAUUCGUUACGUAAAGCUCUAUCAGCAGGGAAGAAAUACUGACCUUACGGUCAGCAGACGGUACCUGAGUAAGAAGACCCGGCUAACUACGUGCCAGCAGCCGCGGUAAUACGUAGGGGGCCAGCGGUAUCCGGGUUUACUGGGUGUAAAGGGAGCGUAGACGGUGCGCCAAGUCUGGAGUGAAAUGCCGCAGCUUAACUGCGGAACUGCUUUGGAAACUGGCGAACUAGAGUGCGGGAGGGGUAAGCGGAAUUCCUAGUGUAGCGGUGAAAUGCGUAGAUAUUAGGAGGAACCCCGGUGGCGAAGGCGGCUUACUGGACCGUAACUGACGUUGAGGCUCGAAAGCGUGGGGAGCAAACAGGAUUAGAUACCCCUGUAGUC
rnacentral:rRNA from 1 species